ACCGGGACCGGGAUGGGGCCCCUGAGGGCUGCUGAGGGUCACUGAGGGCCGGGGGCACGAUGCUGGCAGCCCCCCUGCACCCCCUACCCAAACUGAGGCACCCCCGGCCCGGCGGUGUGAGGUGCCCCAGGAACCGGCGUUUUGACCGUUUUCGCCUUUAUUUCUCCCAAAAUGGCCUCGUUCUAACCCCCCUCGGGGGUUACGGGGGGCUGAGAGCCCACCCGGUGGGCUGCAGGCUGUGUUAGCGCAGUGCUAGUUCCCCUGAGGGAUCGUCUCGCUAAUAAUGCUAUUUUUUGGGUUAUUUUCCCCAAACCGCUGCCGAAAGCUUAUUAUUUUUUUUGCUUCUUUACCAAAACGUCACGGGCUGGGCUGAAAAACAUCGCCUGGGGGUGGGGAGGGACCCAAACACCCCCACAGGCUGCAGCACCUCGCUGCUGGUGGCUUCCUUGUGGUCCUGCCCCAGCCAGCUGUGUGCUAGGGGGGAUAUUUUGGGGCCAUUUGCCUCCUUUUUUGUCAGGCUAACUCUCACCAAAUGCCCGUGGAAGUGCCUGGGAGCAGCGAGGAGUGCAGGCAAAGAGUGCCUGCAACACCAAGACUGCUCGGAGGGAGAGCUGUGAACUGCAGCUCUGCUGGCAGGACCUUCGCCUUGAGAUCUAACCCUGGCAGCAAACAUUAUUUACGUGAUGGGGAGCGAAACGAUCAGUGAGAAAUACUCCGUGCCCUCGCACCUUAAUUCUGCAGUUGUUUCAGCUUGUGUCCCACUGAGCUACACCACGAGGGUCCCAUUCCCUUUCAGUAGGCAGUUGUGCCAUACAGAACUGAAAAUAAAGGAGCAUAACGUUGAGUUCUGCAGAAAAUAUGCUUA